UCGUCACACUAUCAUUAACUGAAUCCAUAGGUUAAUGAGGCGAACCGGGGGAACUGAAACAUCUAAGUACCCCGAGGAAAAGAAAUCAACCGAGAUUCCCCCAGUAGCGGCGAGCGAACGGGGAGGAGCCCAGAGCCUGAAUCAGCAUGUGUGUUAGUGGAAGCGUCUGGAAAGGCGCGCGAUACAGGGUGACAGCCCCGUACACAAAAGCGCAUGUGCUGUGAGCUCGAUGAGUAGGGCGGGACACGUGGUAUCCUGUCUGAAUAUGGGGGGACCAUCCUCCAAGGCUAAAUACUCCUGACUGACCGAUAGUGAACCAGUACCGUGAGGGAAAGGCGAAAAGAACCCCGGCGAGGGGAGUGAAAAAGAACCUGAAACCGUGUACGUACAAGCAGUGGGAGCCCCACCACCAAAGCAUUUGCUGUACCGCGUUGACGGAGCGAAGCGACGUCAAACCGAUAAAACAGCAGUGUAAAGUGAGCCGCAGGGCGCUUUGCGCGACAGCGCAAAGGCAGGCGGUUUCGCGUAGCGAAAGCGAAUGCUUUGGGGUGGGGUGACUGCGUACCUUUUGUAUAAUGGGUCAGCGACUUAUAUUCUGUAGCAAGGUUAACCGAAUAGGGGAGCCGGAGGGAAACCGAGUCUUAAUUGGGCGUUAAGUUGCAGGGUAUAGACCCGAAACCCGGUGAUCUAGCCAUGGGCAGGUUGAAGGUUGGGUAACACUAACUGGAGGACCGAACCGACUAAUGUUGAAAAAUUAGCGGAUGACCUGUGGCUGGGGGUGAAAGGCCAAUCAAACCGGGAGAUAGCUGGUUCUCCCCGAAAGCUAUUUAGGUAGCGCCUCGUGAAUUCAUCUCCGGGGGUAGAGCACUGUUUCGGCUAGGGGGCCAUCCCGGCUUACCAACCCGAUGCAAACUGCGAAUACCGGAGAAUGUUAUCACGGGAGACACACGGCGGGUGCUAACGUCCGUCGUGAAGAGGGAAACAACCCAGACCGCCAGCUAAGGUCCCAAAGUCAUGGUUAAGUGGGAAACGAUGUGGGAAGGCCCAGACAGCCAGGAUGUUGGCUUAGAAGCAGCCAUCAUUUAAAGAAAGCGUAAUAGCUCACUGGUCGAGUCGGCCUGCGCGGAAGAUGUAACGGGGCUAAACCAUGCACCGAAGCUGCGGCAGCGACACUGUGUGUUGUUGGGUAGGGGAGCGUUCUGUAAGCCUGUGAAGGUGUGUCGUGAGGC
rnacentral:rRNA from 1 species